AUUGAACGCUGGCGGCAUGCCUUACACAUGCAAGUCGAAUGGUAACAGGUCUUCGGAUGCUGACGAGUGGCGAACGGGUGAGUAAUACAUCGGAACGUGCCCGAUCGUGGGGGAUAACGAAGCGAAAGCUUUGCUAAUACCGCAUAAGAUCUACGGAUGAAAGCAGGGGACCGCAAGGCCUUGCGCGAACGGAGCGGCCGAUGGCAGAUUAGGUAGUUGGUGGGAUAAAAGCUUACCAAGCCGACGAUCUGUAGCUGGUCUGAGAGGACGACCAGCAACACUGGGACUGAGACACGGCCCAGACUCCUACGGGAGGCAGCAGUGGGGAAUUUUGGACAAUGGGCGCAAGCCUGAUCCAGCCAUGCCGCGUGCAGGAUGAAGGCCUUCGGGUUGUAAACUGCUUUUGUACGGAACGAAAAGACUCUGGUUAAUACCUGGGGUCCAUGACGGUACCGUAAGAAUAAGCACCGGCUAACUACGUGCCAGCCGCCGCGGUAACAC
rnacentral:rRNA from 1 species